UGGGUUUGACAUGAUCGUAGUAGUGAACCGAAAGGGGAACGAGCUUAGGCAGCGACCACAGGUGUUGCAUGGCUGUCGUCAGCUCGUGUCGUGAGAUGUUGGGUUAAGUCCCGCAACGAGCGCAACCCUCGUUGCCAGUUACAUGUGUCUGGCGAGACUGCCGGUAUCAAGCCGGAGGAAGGUGAGGAUGACGUCAAGUCAGCAUGACCUUUAUAUCCAGGGCUACACACACGCUACAAUGGUCGGUACAAUGAGUUGCCAAGUCGUGAGGCGGAGCUAAUCUCAUCAAAACCGGCCUCAGUUCGGAUUGGAGGCUGCAACCCGCCUCCAUGAAGUCGGAGUUGCUAGUAAACGCCGGUCAGCUAUACGGCGUUGAAUACGUUCCCGGGCCU
rnacentral:rRNA from 1 species